AAGGUAUUGUAAUAAGAUUUUAAUUGAAUGCUAAAAGAAUGGAAAUUUAAAAAAAAACUUUUUUAAAAAUAAAAAUUGAAUUUUUUUUAAUUUGUGCAAAAACAAUUAUACUUAUUAAAGACAAGAAGACCCUAAGAAUUUAAGAUUUUACAAUUAAAAAGUUUUUUUUUUAAAAUCUUGAUUGGGGCGAUCAAAAAAUAUUAAUAACUUUUUAAAAUUUAAAUUGAUCUAUUAUUAAUAAACUAAUGAAUUAAAUACUCUAGGGAUAACAGCGUAAUAAUUUUUGAUAGAUCUUAUUGACAAAAUAGUUUGCGACCUCGAUGUUGGAUUAGGAUUCUUUUUUAAUGAAGAAGUAAAAAAAGAAGUUUGUUCAACUUUUAAAUUCCU
rnacentral:rRNA from 1 species